rnacentral:rRNA from 1 species
AUACGGAGGGUGCAAGCGUUAUUCGGAAUCACUGGGCGUAAAGGACGCGUAGGCGGGUUGGCAAGUCAGAUGUGAAAUCCUACAGCUUAACUGUAGAACUGCAUUUGAAACUGCUAACCUAGAGUAUGGGAGGGGGAGAUGGAAUUAGUGGUGUAGGGGUAAAAUCCGUAGAUAUCACUAGGAAUACCGAAAGCGAAGGCAAUCUUCUGGAACACUACUGACGCUGAGGCGCGAAAGCGUGGGGAGCAAACGGGAUUAGAAACCCUAGUAGUCC